GAGGAAGGAGGGGAGCGUGCCUAGUACAUGCAAGUCGAGCGAACAGACGAGGAGCUUGCUCCUCUGACGUUAGCGGCGGACGGGUGAGUAACACGUGGAUAACCUACCUAUAAGACUGGGAUAACUUCGGGAAACCGGAGCUAAUACCGGAUAAUAUAUUGAACCGCAUGGUUCAAUAGUGAAAGACGGUUUUGCUGUCACUUAUAGAUGGAUCCGCGCCGCAUUAGCUAGUUGGUAAGGUAACGGCUUACCAAGGCAACGAUGCGUAGCCGACCUGAGAGGGUGAUCGGCCACACUGGAACUGAGACACGGUCCAGACUCCUACGGGAGGCAGCAGUAGGGAAUCUUCCGCAAUGGGCGAAAGCCUGACGGAGCAACGCCGCGUGAGUGAUGAAGGUCUUCGGAUCGUAAAACUCUGUUAUUAGGGAAGAACAAAUGUGUAAGUAACUAUGCACGUCUUGACGGUACCUAAUCAGAAAGCCACGGCUAACUACGUG
rnacentral:rRNA from 1 species